UCAGGCCCAGCCUGGCGUUGGGGCGCUGCGCGAGAGCGCAGGCCCUCAAGUACAGUGGCGAGCCGGCCGGGAACCCGAGCGUAGUAACACUCUUCGCCCUGGGGCCCCGGGCGACCUCCGCCGUUAAACGGGACGCGAGAGCGCCCUCCACAAGGUUGACCUCGGAUCAGGUAGGAAUACCCGCUGAACUUAAGCAUAUCAAUAAGCGGAGGAAAAGAAACCAACAGGGAUUGCCCCAGUAACGGCGAGUGAAGCGGCAACAGCUCAGAUUUGAAAUCCGGCCUCGGCCCGAGUUGUAAUCUGUAGGGGAUGUCCCUGGCGCGGCGCCUACCGAGUUCCCUGGAACGGGACGCCAUAGAGGGUGAGAGCCCCGUAUGGUUGGACGCCAAGCCUCUGUGGGACUCCUCCGACGAGUCGAGUAGUUUGGGAAUGCUGCUCUAAUUGGGAGGUAAAUCUCUUCUAAAGCUAAAUACCGGCCAGAGACCGAUAGCGCACAAGUAGAGUGAUCGAAAGAUGAAAAGCACCUUGGAAAGGGGGUUAAACAGCACGUGAAAUUGUUGAAAGGGAAGCGCCCAUGACCAGACUCGCGCCGGGCGGAUCAUCCAGCGUUCUCGCUGGUGCACUCCGCCCGGUACGGGCCAGCAUCGGUUUUCGCGGGGGGACAAGAGCGGCGGGAACGUGGCCCCUCCGGGGGUGUUAUAGCCCGCCGCACGAUGCCCUC
rnacentral:rRNA from 1 species